rnacentral:SRP_RNA from 1 species
GUCCAGAUGCUCUGCACAGUGCAGCCAGAAAACCCCGUCAGAUCCGGAAGGAAGCAGCGGUAUUUGGAUUGUAAUGGUGCCGGAGAUUAUCUGGACUUU